rnacentral:lncRNA from 1 species
GUUGAGCUUUAAUGUCCUUUUUCAUUUUAUAUUUGUGUUAUCCUUUUUGUUUGUUAUGUUGCUGAUAUUUUAGGUGUUAAUACUUCAAUUUAUAUUCUAUCACAGGAUGAAUAUGGGAGAAGUGAAGUAAUACAGGGGAGGAUGUGAAGAGGCACAGCUAGCAAGUAUGUGCCAUCCCACAGUCAUUUUCCAAGGUAACUGGGUCAGAUCCCCUUUCUCCACUGCUUUCAGAAAUCAGGGAGCUUUCAUAUAUUCAUAAAAGAGUUAAACUGUUUUCCAAUAUUACUUUGUAGGAAAAUCCACAUUGCUGUUUCUAGAGAUUUUGGGCUUAUUAUUUAUGUUAUAAAAUUGUGUAAAUGUCCAAAAUAAUAUUAUACAAAUUAUUUUCAUUGCUGAGGACAUCCUGCCCCUUCUCCGGGGUCCAUGCCUUCUUCUCUUAGAGUCUUUCUUCUUUCCUAGUUCCUUUGGUGAUGAGGAUUGUAGGCUGGUAAUCCUUUGCUCCAUGUCCAAAAUUCAUAUAUGAGUUAGUACAUACCAUGUUUGUCUUUUUGUGCCUGGGUAACAGGAGGAAAUGGCGGAGCUGGAAGUUUGAGUCAGGGGAAGAAUAGAGGAGAGAGAGCAGGAUGAGAGUUCCAAUAACAGAGGGGGGCCUUUAUAGGUUCAAGGAGAGAUCUGGCACUAGAGAGAUUUCCAGAGAUCUACAAGGAUGACACCAACUGACAAUCUAGGCAGUGGUGGAGAGGCUACCCUAAAUGCCCUUCCCCUGUAAUGAGACUGAUGACUGCUUUAUAUGACAUCCUAGAGCCCUCAUCCAGUGGCUGAUGGAAGCAGAGGCAGACACCCACAGCUAAACACUGGACUGAACUCCUGGAAUCCGUUGCAGAGAGGAGGAGUGAAGAGCAAAGAGGAUGAAUAUGGGAGAAGUGAAGUAAUACAGGGGAGGAUGUGAAGAGGCACAGCUAGCAAGUAUGUGCCAUCCCACAGUCAUUUUCCAAGAGCCCUCAUCCAGUGGCUGAUGGAAGCAGAGGCAGACACCCACAGCUAAACACUGGACUGAACUCCUGGAAUCCGUUGCAGAGAGGAGGAGUGAAGAGCAAAGAGGUGAGGACCCAGCUGGUGAAACCCACAGAAACAGAUGACCUGAACAAGGGAGAGCACAUGGACCCAAGUCUGAUGUCUGGAAGGCCAGCAUG